CGCCGCGGUAAUACCGGCGCCUCAAGUGGUAGUCGAUUUUAUUGGGCCUAAAACGUCCGUAGCCUGUUUGGUACAUUCGUGGGUAAAUCAACCAGCUUAACUGGUUGAAUUCUGCGAGCACGGCCAGACUUGGGACCGGGAGAGGUGUGGGGUACGCUCAGGGUAGGGGUAAAAUCCUGUCAUCCUGAGCGGACCACCUGUUGCGAAGGCGCCACACUAGAACGGAUCCGACGGUCAGGGACGAAGCCUAGGGGCACGAACCGGAUUAGAUACCCGGGUAGUCCUAGGUGUAAACGCUGUGGACUUGGUGUUGGGGAUUCUCCGAGGAUUCUCAGUGCCGAAGCGAAGGUGAUAAGUCCACUGCCUGGGGAGUACGGUCGCAAGGCUGAAACUUAAAGGAAUUGGCGGGGGAGCACCGCAACCUGAGGAUUGUGCGGUUUAAUUGGAUUCAACGCCGGGA
rnacentral:rRNA from 1 species